rnacentral:rRNA from 1 species
GACGAACGCUGGCGGCGUGCCUAAUACAUGCAAGUAGAACGCUGAAGGAGGAGCUUGCUUCUCUGGAUGAGUUGCGAACGGGUGAGUAACGCGUAGGUAACCUGCCUGGUAGCGGGGGAUAACUAUUGGAAACGAUAGCUAAUACCGCAUAAGAGUAGAUGUUGCAUGACAUUUGCUUAAAAGGUGCAAUUGCAUCACUACCAGAUGGACCUGCGUUGUAUUAGCUAGUUGGUGGGGUAACGGCUCACCAAGGCGACGAUACAUAGCCGACCUGAGAGGGUGAUCGGCCACACUGGGACUGAGACACGGCCCAGACUCCUACGGGAGGCAGCAGUAGGGAAUCUUCGGCAAUGGACGGAAGUCUGACCGAGCAACGCCGCGUGAGUGAAGAAGGUUUUCGGAUCGUAAAGCUCUGUUGUAAGAGAAGAACGAGUGUGAGAGUGGAAAGUCCACACUGUGACGGUAUCUUACCAGAAAGGGACGGCUAACUACGUG